AAGCUGUGAGGAAUAUAGCGCAUAAUGAUGGAUUUGGGUUCAUCACUAACGUCUGAUUUACAGACGAUAUAGGUGCGCAUCUGAGCUU
rfam:Capsella rubella cultivar Monte Gargano unplaced genomic scaffold scaffold_4, whole genome shotgun sequence.